UACGAAGGGUGCAAGCGUUAAUCGGAAUUACUGGGCGUAAAGGGUGCGUAGGCGGUUUUGUAAGUCUGACGUGAAAUCCCCGGGCUUAACCUGGGAAUUGCGAUGGAGACUGCAAGGCUAGAAUCUGGCAGAGGGGGGUAGAAUUCCACGUGUAGCAGUGAAAUGCGUAGAGAUGUGGAGGAACACCGAUGGCGAAGGCAGCCCCCUGGGUCAAGAUUGACGCUCAUGCACGAAAGCGUGGGGAGCAAACAGG
rnacentral:rRNA from 1 species